AUGGAGUGGGACGAGCUAGCUCAGAAUCCAUUUCUUGCCUUUUACCAGAGAUGGCCGUGGCUUCGCCCAUUAAACUCCACUUAACAAUCUUUGGAAUGUCUAACAAGACACA
rnacentral:snRNA from 19 species